AUUUUCCAUCACACAGCUCAGAGUCCUUCAGUGUUGAACUCAGGGGACUUUAAACCCUCUCAGAACCCCAGUUUCAGCUGAGCAUGCAAAGCUUCCUCUAUAUGGAAAUGACCUGUUUCCACUCAUCAGACGGGGGGUGAGUGUGACUGCAGACAUUCUUGGAGGACCGCUGUAUCUCUUCUACAUUCACACCAUUGGAAUAAAAUUUGAUUUGGUUGGGAGUGGUGCAGCCCACGCUGAGCGUCCUCCCUCCCUCCAGAGUGGAGCUGGAGCAGGGCAGUGCUACACUAGUGUGUGUGGCCAGUGGGGGCUUCCCCUCAGACUGGAAGCUUGGCUGGAAGGUGGGGGGCAGCAGCAGGUCUGGGGGGGUGUCAGAUAGCCUGGGGGUCCCGGGGAAAGAUGGCCACUACAGCUGGAGCAGCACCUUGACCCUCCCUGCAGACCAGUGGAGGAAGGCGGGCUCAGUGAGCUGUGAGGCCAGUAAGAAUGGCCAGACGCAGCCUGUCACUCAAACCCUGAAUCCUGGAGAGUGUUCAGAGUAGAGAGGCUCCAGCAUGGAGGUACUGGAGGAUACAGAUCUCCUCUGACACGUCUGCUCUAAGACUCUCUGUCUCAGGUGGCCCAGCAGCUUUUGUUGAUUUACAUUAAUAUAACUUGUGUUUGAUUCAUUAACAUGAUGCUCUCUGGAUUUUACCCGUUGCUUGUGUUGGUCGCUUGUUGAACAUUUAAUAAAGAUUUAAAGAAUAAA